GUUGGUGAACCAGCGGAGGGAUCAUUACAAGAAGCCGAAAGGCUGCUUAAAACCAUCGCGAACUAUUCCAAGUUGCUUCGGCGGUGCGGCUCUCCCCCCCCGGGGGUCUGCUGCGUGCGCCGCCUCCUCCUCCGGGAGCUGGCGGGGCGCCCGCCGGAGGUCAGUAACUCUCAUGUAUUACAGUGGAUCUCUGAGUAUAAAAACAAAUAAGUUAAAACUUUCAACAACGGAUCUCUUGGUUCUG
rnacentral:misc_RNA from 1 species